CAUGGUUGGAUUUGAGCCUGUAUCCCCAGAGCAUCAGCUUGGAUCUCAGGAUUUUUAGUGACAUUACCUCCAGGCCAUGCCUCACAUGUUAAAAUGUUGAAUGCCACUUUUGUCUUGAAUGGUUUGUUAUUUCUCUCUCAUAGAAGGCCAAGAAACAAAAGGUCACCAAAGGGAAGACGAGUGAUUCAAGCCAGGAAGCUAAUGCUGCCCCAGCUCAAAAUGGGGAGAAUAAAGAGGCAUGAGAAUUGAAAAAUGCUGGUGGGCGAAAGUCUUGUCCAAGUCUGGAGAGUUUGUCAACCUCCUGUCACUUGUACAGUUGAAAGGAAUAUUUUUAUCAAUUUUUAUAAAUGCAACAUUUUUGUAGGUUGAGUGGGCAGAUGUUGCGGAUGCUUGCAGUGUGUUUUUAUUUUCUGGAGACUUCGUGUACUGACAUGCUGCACAUUGAAAGUGCUUGAGAUUAAACAUUUUUUUUUGUUUUUCUCCCCCUCUGUAUCCCUAAAUGUGACUGUUUCCUACUUGUGCUAUCAGUUAAAAUUGUAUCUGUAAUGUCAGUAACUGUUAGUGGCAAUUUUUGCUCUCCAUGUGAAAUCAGAACUCUCUUGCUUGGCAAUUUCACAAUUGAAAAAUGAAACUUUUUUAAAAUGCUGUUUUAAAGUGAAAAUAUUCUUUGGAAUGUGUUUUAACAGACUCUUCUGACAUUGAUCCUAUUUUUGCUGAGUAUCAUGGAGUUUUAAAUUUGCUACCCAAAUAAAGUUGAAUACUGUUAUGCUUGG